rnacentral:lncRNA from 1 species
AGAUUUCCAUAAAGAUGAUCUUCUGAGUGAAGGCUGGGCUUUAAGACGAAAUGAGAGACAGUGUUGGUGGAAGAAGAGAACUUAAGGCCAGAAGUUGUGUGUGUGUGUGUGUGUGUGUGUGUAUAAUUAUGCCUGAAUAUGUUUUAUUUAUUAUAGUCUAUGUGUGAUUUUGUAUUUGAAAGUAGAUGCUUGAUUCUACCACAAUUAAAAAAAGGAUAUGCUUGGAUUUGUCUGUAGUAUGUGGGUGUGGAGGAGUUCAUUUGAACACGGGCAUUUUUGUGUGUCCAGGACGUAUCAACAGCCUCCUUAGAGGUGUCAUAUGUGCAGGGAAUACUGAAGAGAGUGCAUUAGUCUACAUGUCUCUCUAUAUAUUUUUUCUUUUUGUGUGUGUCUGGUUUUCCUAGAUUUCUCUCUUGCAUGUUUGUGGGUAUGAGAGUCUGUUAGUAUUAAUAUGUGAAUGGGUGUGUGCUAUUUGUCUGGGGAGGAUGAUUUAGGCAAGGAUUUGAAAGUGUGCAUUUAGAAAUUGAGGGCAUCUCUGUGUUAUUAUGAGUGUAUGUGUGUUUGUGUGUGCAUUUUAGAGUGGUUGGUUAUCUGUGUGUAUUUGCAAGGAGAAGGGGAAUUCAGUGUGUUUCUGUGUUUGUGUGUUUGUUUGUGAAUGGUAUGUUUUGCAGAGGAGUGUACUUUUUAUGUUCGAAAGUUAGGCAAUCAUGUAAUUUAUCAUCCAAAUGGGGAUACAUUUGAGAAUGAAAUAUAUAUGUGUGUGAAAGGAUGUCUUUGAAUGUACUUUUAAAAAUGCAUUUAAUUUUGUGUGUGUUAUUGGUGUCAGGAAUUAAGAAAAAGAAGAGAAGUACAGGAGAUAUCAUUAAAUUAUAUAGUUCUCUCUUCGACUGUAGCCUUAUAACAGGGACAUUAAUAGAAUUAACAGGUGGAAUCUAAUUGUCUCCCUUGGAAUCUGGGAUGGCUGUCCUACUUAUUUGACCAACAGAAUUUGUCAGAAGGGACUUUCUGUAACUUCUGAAGCUGUCUCAUAAGAAGCCUUGCAGAUUCUGCUCAUGUCUCUUUCCUCUCUGGGAAACAAGUCGCGACUCAGGGAUAAGCCUGAGACACAUGGAGAGAACAUCCUGAUCAAUCUGGUCUUUGCUGCUACCCUGGUCAACAGCCUGAGCUGGAUACCUGGCUGACAAGUACCACCUUUUUCCUACACAGAUGACAACCCAGCCCAUGAGCACCAGGAAAAUUAAACAAAAAGCCGAAAGAAAAAAGAAAAGAAGAAGUCUGGGAGUGAAGUUAUAUGCUUAAAGGCAUGCAUCUAGCAAAUGGCAAAAAAAAUGGAUGAAGACACAAGACUGAUUGUCACUAAAAACCAUGUGGUAUGUUUGAGCAAGCCCUUCUCUAGGGAAGACCCAUAAAAUUUGACUCAUGAAGAGAGAGAAAAAAAUUCAGGAGGCGAAAUUAAUACGGGGAGAAAAUGAAAGAGAUUUAGUGCAGCUAUCAACCGACCAUUGUGCUGUCUUUAAGAGUCUGUUGAAACAACAUAAUAAGAGGGUCAUAGCUCAGCUAUCCAGGUGGCUUUGGUUUUGUGGCUCCACUUUCUCAACAUGAAACUCCAAUAGAGGAAGAAGGAAACAUGUGACCUGGAGAGUUGAAGUGGGUAUUGGAGACUGCUGCAUCAGCAGGGAAAUGCUUUAUAUCCUCAAAUGACAUGUGCUUCUCCUGACAGCUCAUUGACCAGAAUUAGCAACAUGGCCCUUCCUAACUAGAAGGGACCAGAAUGGAUAGUCCUUCUAUGUGUCCAGAAGGAGAGAAGGACCAGAUAUGUGUGAUCAUGUCUCCAUUAUGGGAGAAAAGAGAAUUGAAAAAGAAAGAAGAUCCACAUAGUGUCUGAGGAGCUGAGACAAAAGAAAAGAGUUGUUAUGGGGCUCUGAUUAGAAUAUAGAGCAAAUCACAGAGCCUCCUGCUAACAGGUGUGCAGACAAGCGCUAAGAUGAAAUGGGCCAAAUACGAGAGUCAGGAAACUUGUGUGCUGGUUUUACCUGUGACAUAAACCAGCAGUAUGAAUUUGGUCCAAACACGAAAGUGAAGCAGCAAGCAGCCCAUGACAAAUAUGUGCACUGCCAGCUAAUGAAUAUUGGAGAACAUGACACGUUGGAGAGCCCAGUGGGUCUUGAAAGUCUGAGUUCCAGCAAAUUCUCAUGUCUGCAUCGACUGCAGCAAGGUCAAAAGUUGGAAAGCAGGGAUAUUCGUUUUGCAGCCACAUCAGUUUCUGAUUAGACUUACAAUUUAAGUGGGGAAGUGACUUUGGAAGAGACAUGCGUGCUGUCAGCAGAUGGGAGAGAGGAUGGAGAAAGAUGGAGGGAGGCUGCUGUAACACCUGUUCUGGUUGGGAUUCUGAAUGAAUAUGAAAGAUGCCACUGCUACUCCUUCACUUGCUCAUUCUGCAAAAGUUUGUAGAUCUUCUGCAAGGAGAACGGCAUUGUUAACUACCUACAGGAAGUGGUGUUGAUUUCCAAGAAAGAUCUUGUUCUUCAAACUCUGUUACAGCGUCUUCUCUGGAGAAGUCAACAGUGAGAUGGGCUAAAUGAAGAAGGAGCAGCUUAUUGUCUUUGUUGGUUUUCUUUAUUUUCCUUCGAAGCAUCUGGGGGAAGAGGAAGACAAUGGAUGAGAUGGCGUAUGUUCUUUCCGCCCUGUGAAUGAAUCAGAUUUGAACUCCUAAGCAAAAUAGAAAAUGCAGAAAUGGUGCUCAGGCAAAACCUGAGAGACACCGGGCUCAAGCGACUCUCCUCUGAAGUCCAUCUGAUAAAGUCUGAAUUAUGGAUAAGUCCUUUCCCCCUCAAUAGUCUACUGCUUACUAAAGUGUAGCUCAAUGACUCUGUGGGCUUGGGUAAUCAGCAGGUAAGCAUAGCUAUGCCCAAUGAAGCAGGGGCUGUGAGAAGAAGCCUUGAAGAGUACCUAAAGUAGAAAAUAAGUGAACUUUCUCCUAAGCCCAUAGGAAACAUCACUAUCCUGCUGAAGGCAGGGCAGAGGGAACACAGCAGAGUAGGCUCAGAAUAACUGGGAUUUGGGCACUGAUAUUAAUGUCACCAUAUCUACACUUAUUGAUUGUUGAGAUUAUACAUUUGGCUUGAAACCACAGGAACUAAUAUACUCUAAAUAUAAGCUGAGAAAAAUUAAAAAUAACCACAACUACAACAGUAGAAAGAGAAAAUAUAUGAAUGCCAAGAAUCUAAUGUGUAAAUUAACUACAAGGGUUUAGAAGUUUUGGGCAUCUCCCUGGGGAUUAGCUGUGCUCAGUCUCCCCUCCAGGAAAUCAUUUACAACUCUAUGUCUGUUACCCCAAAAUGACUUAAAUGAAGUUUAGGAUAAGACAGAGACAAGUUCAGAACAAGACAUGGGUGAGGUUCAGAAGAAUGAAAUUGAAAUUAUAUGAAUUUCCAAUUGUUAGAGAUGCAUGAGUGAGAUACAGGUUUUCAAGUGUUGUGAUGUCAUACCAUAAAAUGAUUAUAAACAUUUAGGAAACAAUCUCUCCUGUGGAAUCAGGAAUCAUUACUAAAUAUCACAAUUAUAGUGGAGACGCUGAAGAAGUCAAUAUAUGUGUUCUGAAAAACUUGAUUAAAUAAACUUCAAGGACACAGAGAAAGGCGCUGUGAUCUGUUCUCUGCAAAGGGCCUGAUAUAUUUAGAUUUUCAUUAAGAUGGGCUGAAACACAAAAUGUCUUCAGUUAUCCAGGAAAUGUAAUUAACCACUUCUUAAGAUUUCUACUUAAUCAAUGCUAUUUUUCCCCAUAUUUGGUUAAUUGAACUGUCUGCCUCCACUAUAGUCUGAGGUAUGUGGCUAAUUUUGGCCAGCAAUAUCAAGGACAUGAAACUCAAGGUAAUUUUUUUCCCUCCAAAAUAGCCUCUAUAUUUUCGCUGUAAAUCCUUAUCCUAUUCUCUGUGAAAUAAGCCUUCAAUUAACAGCCAUAAUUAAAUAAUAUAUUUAAAAAUUAAGAUAAAAUAUGCUGAAGUAGUGAGCAUUACUUAGAAAUGGUAUGAAAAUAAUUUGCAGUCAGAACAACCUAAAUUUGAAUUCUUGCUCUUUCAAGUUAUAGCUAAUCUUGGGCAAGCUAUUUCUCAGUUUCUUCCUCUGUCGAAUGGAGCUAAUAUUAAUUUCUGCUUAAUAGUGUUCUUGUGAGACUACAGGUAAUGUUUGGAUAGCAUCAGUCAUAGAGUAGACAUAUAAUAAAAUGUUACUAUUUUUAUUAUUUUCACUAUUAUUAUUACCAUUUUUAUUGUUAGUCUUUUAAACUGCAGGCAAAUAUCAAGAGUAUCUCUUAAUUGUAUGCGUAUAAGAUGAUCUUACAUAUCUCAAGGACUAUUGGUAUGUCCAUGUUUUAAAAGUAUAUUAUCAGCUGGGCACGGUGGCUCAUGCCUGUAAUCCCAGCACUUUGGGAGGCCGAG